rnacentral:lncRNA from 1 species
AUGGGACAGAGAUGCCCAGGGCAUCUACCCAGCGGCAUUCUCCCCCCAAAUCUGCAGGUUUGGAGGUGCGGGGGGGGCAGAAGAUCUAUUGUGAGGAAGCCAAGAAGCGGAUGUCUGCCUCCCCUGCUCCCUCCCACAGGGCAAGGAUGUGAAACUAACCCAAAGUGGACGGUGAAGUGCAACUGCCGGGUGUUCUUCCAGUUCUGGAGACUGCACAGCUUCCUGCUCAAUGCCAGCUGGACCUUCUUCCUAGAGAGAAGCAACUGGCAGCUCUGUGUGAAAGCUUCUGCUUUCAUGGAGUUUUUGUUCCGAUUGCUGUUUGGGGGCUGGGGAUGACUUAGUCCUGCAGCACUUUACCAGGUAGGAGUUCUUGAAAUAUCUUCCCCUUAUGUUGCAAUGUAUACUUUCUAGUACUUGCUAUUCCUCAUUUGAUUUUUUCCAUCUCUGAUAUUUCCUUUAUUUUAUGAUCUGUCAAACCAUGUCUUUUUGUUUUACACUGUCACAUUGUUUAGGAAUGCAAAGUCUUCCUUAUGUUUUACUUUAUAGGAUGUGUCAUUCUUUACAAUGCAGUGUUAUUUUUGAGUCACACUUAUUCUGAAUUAUAUAGCCUUUAUACUCUUACUUUUUAGGUUAUUUCUACAGAAAGAUAUGCAAGCUUACAUUUUUAUGAAAGUCAGGAUUUUCCAUGUACAGAAUUUUAUGAAUGUGCAAAUUUUAUGUAUUUAAUUUUCCUGAAAUGUGAGUGCUUACCUGUUUUAUAUAAAUUUCUAUUAAAGAUUGAUGUUGUCUCCAGUGGAUGUAUUUGGUUUUUUAUUUUUUUAUUUUUGACAGGCAGAGUGGACAGUGAGAGAGAGAGACAGAGAGAAAGGUCUUUCUUUUGCUGUUGGUUCACCCUCCAAUGGCCGCUGCGGCUGGCGUGCUGUUGCCGGCGCGUCAUGCUGCUCUGAAGGCAGGAGCCGGGUGCUUCUCCUGGUCUCCCAUGAGGUGCCGGGCCCAAGGACUUGGGCUAUCCUCCACUCACUCCUGGGCCAUAGCAGAGAACUGGCCUGGAACAGGGGCAACUGGGACAGAAUCUGGCGACCCAACCGGUACAAGAACCCGGUGUGCCGGCACCUCAAGGUGGAGGAUUAGCCGAUUGAAUCAUGGCACCGGCUUGUAUUCGUUUUUUAGGCUAAAAUAAUUCUUGGGUAUAUUUUAUAGAACAAUUCUAAGAAUAAACGACAUUCCUUUUUUUUUUGACA